UUGGUCCCCAUGACCCUGGAGGCGCCGUGGAAGCGCUCCAGCAGCCGGGCUCCCACCUCCCGGAACGGGGGCAGCUUCUGCCAGCAGAAAGUCACGGAGGAACAGUGCAGAAUUAAUCUAUUCCCAUAAUAACUACAAUCACCCUAGCAUUUUAAGACUUGCAAAAUUCUUCUCUCAUAAUUCUGUGAGGGGUAUUAGCCAGUGUGAAUUCCCAGAUGAAGCAAGGAAGUUAUAUGUGGAAUACACUGAAAGGACCAUCGGAUGGAGAGCCUGGAGACCUCACUGCAUAGAAUGCUGGCUCUCUUAUUAAACUUUGUGACCUUGGGAAAAUGAUCUCAUUUUUGUGAACCCCUCCCCUUAUCUGAAAAAUUAGAUUAAUAAUGUGUACACUAUCUGUAUCAUAAAGCAGCUAUGAACAAAGAAUUUUAUAAAGAAAAAUAAGCUAUCACUGUAUCUUUCUUAGCUUUAUAUAAGUAUACAAUACUUACACAAAAAGCACUAAAGUGUUUCCUGGGGGCAUUGAGAGAGGUACUAUGAUUUGCCUAGGAUCACAUAAGCAAUAUUUAUCAAAGACAGGACUGCCAUACCUUCCUGACCCUAUGGCCAGUUUUCUGAUCACAAAUUCAUAAUUAUAGCCACAGUCAUAAUCUCCUCACCCCUCCCACUGUCUCUGUCUCUGUCUCUUUCUCCUUCUA